UACGGAGGGUGCGAGCGUUAAUCGGAAUUACUGGGCGUAAAGCGCGCGUAGGCGGUUUGAUUAGUCGGGUGUGAAAGCCCCGGGCUUAACCUGGGAAUUGCAUUCGAUACUGUCAGGCUCGAGUCUAGGAGAGGGAAGCGGAAUUCCGGGUGUAGCGGUGAAAUGCGUAGAUAUCCGGAGGAACAUCAGUGGCGAAGGCGGCUUCCUGGCCUAAGACUGACGCUGAGGUGCGAAAGCGUGGGGAGCAAACAGG
rnacentral:rRNA from 1 species